rnacentral:rRNA from 1 species
AACUUUCAGCAAUGGAUGUCUUGGCUCACGCAUCGAUGAAGGACGCAGCGAAAUGCGAUACGCAUUGUGAAUUGCAGAUUUUAGUGAACCAUCAGAUUUCUGAACGCAUAUGGCGCCGCUGG